rnacentral:lncRNA from 1 species
ACCUCUGCUUGACUUGAGACUCCCCCAUCAAAACUCUACCAUCCUCGCCCUUGAUGCACCUAGCUUGGUCAAGAUCAUGCGCCUUUCUUUCCCUUGCUUUAGCUAACCGGAAUAACUUCCUAUCCCCGCAUUUCUCCCCUAAUUCCUCGUACAUGCGAUAAAACACCGCAUUUUUAGCUUCCGUAACCGCCAUCUUUGCUUCUUUCCUCACCACCUUGUAGAUCUCCAUGUUCGCCCUCUAUUCUUCCUCGCUUAUGUUCCCUGCCAACUUAGCAAACGCCGCCUUCUUCACUUCACUUUUCCUUCGACUAUAUCAUUCCACCACCAGUCGCCCUGAUGCCUGCCUG